CCUCAACCUUGUUAAAUUUUCUUCUUUCUUUCUCCCCUUCAACCCGUGUUUUGUCUCUUCAAUCUGUGUUCCCCCUUCCUUGAAUCUGUCUACAAACCAUCUUCAAUAACCUAUCCUCAACCCUUCCUUUUUUCUCCCUCAACUCCUUUAUACACGCUACGGAAUUUUUUUUAGUCGAACCUAUGUUUGUGAGAGCUUUGCCAUUUGUUUUCUUGUCGAAAUUUUUUUCCCUUGGAUCUAAAACCCCCUUAUGUUCUCUUCACGAUCCAUCUCUAAAUUGGUUCCACAUUCUCUCUCAGUCUUCGAAACUGUGAUUCGUUUUGUUGAAGGCUUCGCUCCAAUGGCAUUGCCUCCGAGACUUUUUGGUUUUCCCUUUUUGGUUUUGUUGAACGUUUGGGACGAUUCCUUCCCUCCGAAAACUUGCAUGAUCGAUGAGUCUUCUCGAUGAACAUGAAAGUCCUUCGUUGUUGACUCUUGGAAUUCCCCUUGCUGUUUGACUUCUCUUUUGUCGAGGUCUUUUCCUUGUUGAUCGAUGUUUUCCUUCACUGAGUUAUGACAAGUGCUACACAUUCCUUGUUGUGGCAAUAGGUGAUUUUCAAGCAUGGUAGAGAGGAUGUUGGCCUUCAUAAUAUCCUUCUAAGAGGUGUAGUAACAUUUCAACCUCAUCUUAUUGGUUGUGAUACGACUGCACGACAAGUUGGUGAAGAAACCACAACCAGUAACUAACACAUGCAUUGGUCCACGAUGGAAGUGCUUCGAGGAUUUAAAUAAAGGUGAGCAUGCUGCGAUCGAUCACCCUAGGUACAUAAUAGGUAAGGGUGAAGUUGCCACUAAAGUCCUCCAAGUGUGCAACACGAAAGGCGAUUUCAUAUUCAUCUUGGCAGAUUGGGAAGGAUCCACAGCUGAUUCACGCAUUCUUUGAGUUAAGUGUAAUGUUUUCAGGUUAUUAUGACUUGCUAUUAUACCCAAAGGUACCAUUUUGACAAAGAUCUCAAUGUAUGAUAACACAUUGCAAUGUCAUAGUCGUAAUCUACUGAUUUAAUAAUAAGUAAAAUGACAUGAGAGAGAGAACCAUAUUUUCGUUUA